rnacentral:rRNA from 1 species
AGUGAACGCUGGCGGUAGGCCUAACACAUGCAAGUCGAACGGCAGCACAGUAAGAGCUUGCUCUUACGGGUGGCGAGUGGCGGACGGGUGAGGAAUACAUCGGAAUCUACUUUUUCGUGGGGGAUAACGUAGGGAAACUUACGCUAAUACCGCAUACGACCUACGGGUGAAAGCAGGGGAUCUUCGGACCUUGCGCGAUUGAAUGAGCCGAUGUCGGAUUAGCUAGUUGGCGGGGUAAAGGCCCACCAAGGCGACGAUCCGUAGAUGGUCUGAGAGGAUGAUCAGCCACACUGGAACUGAGACCCGGUCCAGACUCCUACGGGAGGCAGCAGUGGGGAAUAUUGGACAAUGGGCGCAAGCCUGAUCCAGCCAUACCGCGUGGGUGAAGAAGGCCUUCGGGUUGUAAAGCCCUUUUGUUGGGAAAGAAAAGCAGCAGGUUAAUACCCCGCUGUUCUGACGGUACCCAAAGAAUAAGCACCGGCUAACUUCGUG